AUUCCAGCUCCAAGAGCGUAUAUUAAAGUUGUUGCAGUUAAAAAGCUCGUAGUUGGAUUUCUGGUCUAAUGCGCCUGGCCCGCUGCCGUUAGGUAUGUGAGUGCCGGUGCGCGUUUACCAUCCUUCCAGAGAACACUUCUACCAUUUAUUUGGACGGAUGUUGUCUUCUGGAUCUUUUACUUUGAAAAAAUUAGAGUGUUUAAAGCAGGCCUUUGCUGUGAAUACAUUAGCAUGGAAUAAUAAUCUAGGACUUCGGUUCUAUUUUGUUGGUUUGCACGCCGAAGUAAUGAUUAAUAGGAGCAGUUGGGGAUGUCCGUAUUCGAUUGUCAGGGGUGAAAUUCUUGGAUUUAUUGAAGACGAACUACUGCGAAAGCAUUCAUCAAGGAUGUUUUCAUUG
rnacentral:rRNA from 1 species